rnacentral:rRNA from 1 species
AUUGAACGCUGGCGGCAUGCCUUACACAUGCAAGUCGAGCGGCAGCGCGGGGGCAACCCUGGCGGCGAGCGGCGAACGGGUGAGUAAUGCAUCGGAACGUGUCCUCUUGUGGGGGAUAACCAGUCGAAAGACUGGCUAAUACCGCAUGAGAUCGAGAGAUGAAAGCGGGGGACCGCAAGGCCUCGCGCGAGAGGAGCGGCCGAUGCCCGAUUAGCUAGUUGGUGGGGUAAUGGCCUACCAAGGCGACGAUCGGUAGCUGGUCUGGGAGGACGACCAGCCACACUGGGACUGAGACACGGCCCAGACUCCUACGGGAGGCAGCAGU